UACGUAGGGUGCGAGCGUUAAUCGGAAUUACUGGGCGUAAAGCGUGCGCAGGCGGUUCGCCAAGUCAGGUGUGAAAUCCCCGGGCUUAACCUGGGAAUUGCGCUUGAAACUAGCGGGCUUGAGUGUGGCAGAGGGGGGUGGAAUUCCACGUGUAGCAGUGAAAUGCGUAGAGAUGUGGAGGAACACCGAUGGCGAAGGCAGCCCCCUGGGUCACCACUGACGCUCAUGCACGAAAGCGUGGGGAGCAAACAGG
rnacentral:rRNA from 1 species